GACGAACGCUGGCGGCGUGCUUAACACAUGCAAGUCGAACGGAAAGGCCCUGCUUUUGUGGGGUGCUCGAGUGGCGAACGGGUGAGUAACGCGUGAGUAACCUGCCCUUGACUUUGGGAUAACUUCAGGAAACUGGGGCUAAUACCGGAUAGGAGCUCCUGCUGCAUGGUGGGGGUUGGAAAGUUUCGGCGGUUGGGGAUGGACUCGCGGCUUAUCAGCUUGUUGGUGGGGUAGUGGCUUACCAAGGCUUUGACGGGUAGCCGGCCUGAGAGGGUGACCGGCCACAUUGGGACUGAGAUACGGCCCAGACUCCUACGGGAGGCAGCAGUGGGGAAUAUUGCACAAUGGGCGGAAGCCUGAUGCAGCAACGCCGCGUGCGGGAUGACGGCCUUCGGGUUGUAAACCGCUUUCGCCUGUGACGAAGCGUGAGUGACGGUAAUGGGUAAAGAAGCACCGGCUAACCACGUG
rnacentral:rRNA from 1 species